GGAGGUGGACUUGGUGUUAAAGAGAAAACCACACUGUCAACAAGAGCCAGACUUCAAAAGCAUCUAAAGAAACAAAGACAAAGCUGCCAUCAUCAUUUGUUAGUAGACAGUUGUCAUGGAGUGGGGAUUGACUCACUUUAGGCAAAGAGUGCAUCCAGCAUUGUUUAAAGAGGGAGGCAACAGCCAAGAAGAGCUAUGUGAGGC
rnacentral:lncRNA from 1 species